rnacentral:rRNA from 1 species
AGUGAACGCUGGCGGUAGGCCUAACACAUGCAAGUCGAACGGCAGCACAGUAAGAGCUUGCUCUUACGGGUGGCGAGUGGCGGACGGGUGAGGAAUACAUCGGAAUCUACUUUUUCGUGGGGGAUAACGUAGGGAAACUUACGCUAAUACCGCAUACGACCUACGGGUGAAAGCAGGGGAUCUUCGGACCUUGCGCGAUUGAAUGAGCCGAUGUCGGAUUAGCUAGUUGGCGGGGUAAAGGCCCACCAAGGCGACGAUCCGUAGCUGGUCUGAGAGGAUGAUCAGCCACACUGGAACUGAGACACGGUCCAGACGCCUACGGGAGGCAGCAGUGGGGAAUAUUGGACAAGGGGCGCAAGCCUGAUCCAGCCAUACCGCGGGGGUGAAGAAGGCCUUCGGGUUGUAAAGCCCUUUUGUUGGGAAAGAAAAGCAGCAGGUUAAUACCCCGCUGUUCUGACGGUACCCAAAGAAUAAGCACCGGCUAACUUCGU